GCCCCAGUAGCUCAAUGGAUAGAGCAACAGACUUCUAAUCUGUAGGUUGGGGGUUCGAUUCCCUCCUGGGGUA
rnacentral:tRNA from 1 species